AGUGGCCAAUGAACGAUACCCGCCCCUCCUCUCUCGGACUUAGCCACGCCCUUCAUUAGUUCCUGAGGGGAUUUUUCAGAACAGAGGUUAUGGCAGUUUCACUAUCCAAUUCCAGUGAGUAUGAGGGGAGCCCAUGGAGUUUGAAAUGACUCCUUUCUUCUCUCAGGGAUGUGAGAAAAAAUAAGAGAAUUUGGGUUGGCUUAGUAGCACUAUUUUGUGAGUCUUAGCUUGAGUUCCCUCGGGAUGGAGACCAACUGCUUCUUUCCGAAUCUUAGGGAAGUUGACCCGUUUUCUCCCAACUGUCCUUAUGGCUCCUUCCUCCAUCUCCUGCUUGGGGCCUCUGUGGACUCUCAUUUGCUGCAUCAGCACAUGAAGGUUCCCUGACUUGGCACCUCCUUAUGCUGAACAUCAGCAGACUCCAUACUGAGUAGGAUUUGGGAGUACAGCUGUUAAUACCAAUAAUUAUGUAACCCUACUCGAUGCCCUCUUAGAGCACGCCGCAGAAAAAUAGAUUGAAAAAGUGAACAAAAAUAUAAACAUCAUGUGUGGUAAUGGCUUCCAAGCAAAGAAUCUGAACCUUACAGCAGCCCCACCUAAGAUUUAUGAACAGGAAACCGGGAAGGGGAAUGACAUUUGAAGUGUAAGUAAAGAAAUGUAUCUAAUAAAAAAUUAAAAAAACAAAAAAAGACAAACAAAGAGGUCUAUGCUGUGAAUAUAAUCAGAAAGAUGAUCUUAUCUGCCUCUUUUGUGUGUGUGUGUGUGUGUGUGUGUGUGUGUGUGUGUGUGUGUGUGUGUUUUACCUUGACUUCCGUAGUCAAUGGAGUUCAGAUAACUGUAGGAAUGCAUUUUAUGGUUUAGAGGCACUGAUAGGAUCAUUCCUUUACUUAUGCUCCCCCUACUAGUUUUCUCACACAUAUCUCAUCAAGAUUUAAGCUGUUAUGCAUCCAUAAAACUUAAUGCUUACUGAAUCAUUUUAACUUUCCUAUUCUUUUCAUCUUCAUUAAUAUUCCUGGUACCUAAAUAAUACAAUCCUGUCAAAGGUGUUUCAAAUUUAGCUGGUAGACUGAUACGCCUCUUAAAACACAUGACUUAGGAAACAAGCUAACCUACAUUAUGGCUGAUUGGUGCAUUGCAAAACAGAUUAAUUCUAAAUUAAAUAUAUUAGACUAUUUAAAAUAGUCCUGCUUUAAUAUUUGUAAUCAUAUCAAACUUUAAAUAUGGGAUUAUAAAGCCUGUGAUUUGACUGUACUAUACUGCAUUCUCCAUAUAGAUUUUUACAUGAAUUACUGAAAAUUUCUUGGCAAAAACUUAUUAUGUGAGCACCUUUAUAACUAAUACCACUGGGGCUUUUCCAUUUAAUGGUUAUGUGAACCGUAUGUUUAAAUACAGGUAAAAGGAGAUUUACACUUAGCAGCCAACUAAGUAACCUGGAUGUAGUCACUUAUAUUCACUGAGUAGUUGCUUGUAGAAGGGAGCGCAAACUGCAGAUCAGGUAUUUCAAGGAGCUCUCUUGGUAUAAACUUAGCCCUAGCUAAUUUGGCCAUAGGGAAUUCAUGGUCCUUCUGAUACUUGAUCAGUCCAAGCCAAACUUCCUACACAAAAGUUCAGGAUGCAGUUCCUCCUGUCUCUAUGUCUUUUUUUUUUUAUUAACUUAAGUAUUUCUUAUUUACAUUUCGAUUGUUAUUCCCUCUACAGGUUUCUGAGCCAACAUCCCCCUAACCCCUCCCACUCCCCUUCUCUAUGGGUGUUCCCCUCCCCAUCCUCCACCAUUACCACCCUCCCCCCAACAAUCACAUUCACUGGGGGGUUCAGUCUUGGCAGGACCAAGGGCUUCCCUUUCCACUGGUGCUCUUACUAGGCUAUUCAUUGCUACCUAUGAGGUUGGAGCCCAGGGUCAGUCCAUGUAUAGUCUUUGGGAAGUGGCUUAGUCCCUGGAAGCUCUGGUUGCUUGGCAUUGUUGUUCACAUGGGGUCUCGAGCCCCUCGAGCUCUUUUAGUCCUUUCUCUGAUCUUAUCUGCCUCUUAAAAUUCAGUUUUUAGCAGGUGUGCUUCCUGACCAAAGAAGUCAGAUGAGUGCAUGAGCAGCCCCUUCGAGGACAAGGCUUGGAUUCCCAGGAGCAGACAAGGAACUCUGUGGGCAUACUCCAAGGAAUCUGGACGUCCUCUGUCACAGGACAUCCACUGUUUAAGCACCACCACUACCUCAGAAAGUCCACUGUCUGUGUGUCAACUCCACUGUUACAGGACCAUAAGUGUCUCAGCACUUCAACUAUCACAGCACUUCUACUAUUCAGGAGCUCAAGAGUCUCAGCAUCUCAAGUGUCACAGGACCUCCUUUGUCCAAGAACUGGACUGUCCAAGCAACACUACUAUUGCGGGACCUCCACUGUCACAGGACUUCCACUGUAGGAGCACUACAACUGUCUCAGGACACCCACUGUCCUAUAACCUCCACUAUCCCAGGAAUUCCACUGUCGUAGCACCACCCGUAGCAACUAAAGUGUUUCAGGACAUCAAAUGAAGCAAGAUCUCCCAUGAUUCUGCAACUUCACUGCCACAGGAUCUCUACAGUGACAGGAAUACCCCUGUAUCAGCAAUUCCAAUUUUGCAGCACCUCCACUGUAGCAGAACCUUCAAUUGUGCAGCAGCUCCACUGUAGGUAGAUUGACCUCCAUGAUCUCAGUGCAUCGAUUUUCAAAGGACCUUCACUGUCACAGAACCGGCGCUAUUUCAGUGCCUCCACUGUCGCAGGACCUACCUCUUCACAGGAUCUGCACUGUUGCAGCAACUGUAAUUUCAAUUUUUCAAAGUCAUUGCUGUUUAUAUUUGAGGCUGAAUGAAAUGUGAUGCUACUUUUGAAAGCAUAAGAAUUUGUUCUAUAGCUCUUGUGAUAAAUGCCGUGUGUGCUUGGACCAGUAAACUAUGGAAGACUUCAUGAGCUCAUACCACUCUCCACCUCACUUUGUGGAAGCUGGUGUUUUUAGAGUGUGAUAAACUUCAGGUGAAUGGAUGCAUUCAGCUGCACCACGCUCUAGAGUGGGCUACACAGCCGUCAUAUUGAGUCCUUGCUGGGAAGAGAAGAAAUCCAGAGGAGGGAGAAGGCUUGGGUUGGGGGAAGUAUCAUAAAAUACUUAGAAGAUAUAAGAAGGUAAGAAUUAUGGGGAACUGGAAAACAGAGCCAGAGGAAGAAUGAGCACAGAGCAAACUGGGAAGGACAAAGCACAAAGGCACGUGGGUUUUGCCAUCUGCAUGUUCUCUGGAAAAUCUCCCUUGGCCUCAUUUCUGGGAGAAAACUCUUCCUCCACCCCCUUGUAAGGUUUCAUUCUUGAAGGAAAGCAGCAACACAACUUCAUCAGUGAAUUUCCCCAUUGGAAUUGGUUCAUCCUUUAAUGCCUCUGGGAAAUCCCCAGAUGGGGUAUGUCCUGCUCUCUGCUGAAGGACAGCAGGAAAGUAGGUUGUCCUCUGUUUUCUCGUUGCUACAGCUCUUCCAAAUGUGGCUUAUUGGCGAGUGAAGACACAGGACACUUCUGGUGUGUAUGUAUGCUUUGUUCACUGUGGGUGUUGUCGGUAGUGUCCUGAAAAGAAGAAGGGCAUGCCCAAUGGCUCUUUGCUUCCUCUUUGACUAGCCUUAUGAUCAUAGGGAGACACUAGGCCAUUGGAAGAUGAGGAGAACAAUGUGUCUAUGUUGUGUUCACUUCUAUUCCUAUUUAGUCGUAGAGGGAAAUCAGCAAGGGUAGAGAAGGGGACCGUAACUGGACAAAGCUGCUGAGCCUGUGUUGUGAAGCAAUUCCUGUGUAUAACUUGAUGUUACAUUAAGCAAUAGGAUGCCAUGUUCUGUUUAUACCUUUUUGAUGCAAUGAAUCUAUAAUAUUUUACCUCAAACCUCAAUAUAUUACGUUUCUUCCUCUUUUGGAGAAUCUGGCAUGAGAGGGAUCACUUCUUCAUAAGGAUUUGUGAACCUCUUCCAGUUUUCAUUGACCAGGGGUACAUCAUCACCUCUGUGACUGUCAGCCCAUAGUUUGGAUUUACUUUCAGUAAUAGGCUAAGCUGUCUCUUCUGACAACCCACAGUGAGCAGGGUACACACCUGCUACAACUUGUCUUCUGAACUGUUGUAUGUCAACAGAGUCAAAUACAACAGUGAAAUAUAAGCCUACUCCUAAGAUCCAUAUGUUGGUUUUUUUUUUUUUGCACCACCAUAAAGUUGUCCUAGGAAGAGAUCAGGUGCACCAAUAGGGUAAGCACCAUGCUGCCAGUUCAGCAUUUGCCCAGAUUUGUCUUGAGUUGAAGGCCAAAGUCGAUGCUUUUGACUUUUCUGUUCUUCUUUAACAAAAUAUAAUCUGGUUUCAGGUCACUGUGAACUUAUACAGUGCCCAUAGCCAUAGAUAAAGCCUGCUAAUAUUUGCCUAAAUAUUUCCUUGGCUCCUUCCUCCUCUCGGUGGAAAGACUUUCAGAUGUAUUUGUAAAGCUGUAAAAUUUCAACCAGUUUCACGAUAAGUUAUUAGAAUUGUCUCAGACUCAAUUGGAGAAGCAAGAUGAUGUUGGGGUGGAUGAAAAACUUCAUUAUAUUGCCAUGGUCAUGUUUGGCUGGCACCAUUGCUUCUUCUUUGCAUGCACUUUGAUAACCCCUGUAGCAGAACUUCCACUGUCCCAGCACCUGAACUAUCCCAAGACCUCCACAGUCAAAGGACCAAUAUUGUGGUAGGGCGUCUGUGGUCAGGCAACUCCUCUGUCUCAACCCUCCAAAUUGCAAGACCUUUACGGGCACUGGAAGUCACUGUCCCUAAACUUCCACUGUUGGAGUACCUCAACUAUAACAAGGACCUCUACUAUUGCACAACCCCCUUGUCAUAGCACGUCUAUUGUUACAAAGUAGUCCACUGUCAAAGGACCUCCAGGGUCUCAAUCUCUCCACUGUUACAGGAUCUCUACUGUCUUAGGACCACUGCUGUUGGAGGACCUCCUGUCUCUCAGCAACUUCAGUUUGUUGGAGCUCUCCUAUCAGAGGACAUUUACAUUUGCUGUACUUCCAGUGUCACAGCUUUUAUAAGAACCUCCAUUCUCACAGGACCUCCAGUGCGUCAGUACCUCCACUGUCCAAGGACUUUUAUAUUGUAGGACCUCUACUGUCCUACAGAAUGUCCACUGUCGCUAGAUUUCCACUGUCACAACACCACAACCAUUACAAGAACUGAAAUUUUGGCAUGACCUCCAGUGUUCCAGCCCCUCCAGUGUCAUAGGACCUCCACUAUCCCAGGACGUCCACUGUCUCACCAAGGCCAAUUUAAAGGACCUCUACUAUAACAGGUUAUCCACUGUAGCUGGACUUACACUGUUGCAGUACCUCAACUGUUGCAGGACCAACAAGGUUGCAGGACAUAGACACUCUCAGCAGCUAGAAUUUGCAGGACCUCUACUGGCACACAAAUUCCACAGUUGCUGGAGCUCCACUGUCACUGCAAAUGCACUGUCUCAUGAUAUUCACUGUUGCUGGACCAGUAGUGUGGCAGUACCUCCAUUUUUGCCAAGCCCCUCCACUGACGCAAGACUUCCACUUUUGUAGCACCUUCACUGUCCAAGCAAACCAACUCCUGCAGUAUGUCCAUUGUCUCAGGGCAUUCACUAAUGCCAGCUCUCCAAUGUUGUAGUACUUUUUAAAAAUUCCUCUAAAAAAGGUUACUUUGUUAUUUACAAAUUACAAUUCAGGUGUUGAGAAAAUAAAUAAGGUCAGUUUCCCCCCUAGAUACUAAGUAAAUAAAAUGUUUUUCUAGACACAAUAUAUGUAAAA